UAGGGAAUAUUGCUCAAUGGGCGAAAGCCUGAAGCAGCAACGCCGCGUGUGCGAUGAAGGUCCUCGGAUCGUAAAGCACUUUUCUGAGAGAUGAGAAAGGACAGUAUCUCAGGAAUAAGUCUCGGCUAACUACGUGCCAGCAGCCGCGGUAACACGUAGGAGGCGAGCGUUAUCCGGAUUCACUGGGCGUAAAGCGCGUGCAGGCGGUUUGGUAAGUUGGGCGUGAAAGCUCCCGGCUCAACUGGGAGAGGUCGUUCAAUACUACCAGACUAGAGAGCAGAAGAGGAAGAUGGAAUUCCCGGUGUAGUGGUGAAAUGCGUAGAUAUCGGGAGGAACACCAGUGGCGAAGGCGAUCUUCUGGUCUGUUUCUGACGCUCAGACGCGACAGCUAGGGUAGUAAACGGGGUUAGAGACCCCGGUAAUCCUAGCCGUAAACGAUGUGAACUUGGCGUUGGUGGCUUAAACACCAUCAGUGCCGAAGCAAACGCGAUAAGUUCACCGCCUGGGGACUACGGCCGCAAGGUUA
rnacentral:rRNA from 1 species